UUUAACUAUAUUUUAAGCCGGGUAGAUAUGAUGCACCAUUAACGGCAAGGGUAGUUGUGAUAAUUUUACGUGUUUAAAGAGAUAUUUAUAAUAUUUUAAAGUUUAAAGGGGUAUUCACGAAAUUUACAAUUUUGACAGGAGUACUUGUGAAAUUGCCCCUGCUUUCUAUUGUCUUGCUAGCAAAUGAGCAAAUAUUUUUGUUCUGACUCUUCUUUAUAUAAUAGUGUUAGAUAGCUCUCAAUAUUAAUCAGAUCGGUACUUAAAAAAAAAGAAGAAGGUUUAUCUUUACAACACACUAA
rnacentral:lncRNA from 1 species